rnacentral:rRNA from 1 species
CCUACGGGUGGCAGCAGUGAGGAAUAUUGGUCAAUGGACGAGAGUCUGAACCAGCCAAGUAGCGUGAAGGAUGACUGCCCUAUGGGUUGUAAACUUCUUUUAUAUGGGAAUAAAGUGUUCCACGUGUAGGCGUUUGUAUGUACCAUAUGAAUAAGGAUCGGCUAACUCCGUGCCAGCCGCCGCGGUACUACGGAGGAUCCGAGCGUUUUCCGGAUUUAUUGGGGAUAAAGGGAGCGGAGGUGGAGUGUUAAGUCAGUUGUGAAAGUUGGGGGCUCAACCCUAAAAUUGCAGUUGAAACUGGCAGUCUUGAGUACAGGAGAGGUGGGCGGAAUUCGUGGUGUAGCGGUGAAAUGCUUAGAUAUCACGAAGAACUCCGAUUGUGAAGGCAGUUCACUGGCCUGCAACUGACACUGAGGCUCGAAAGUGUGGGUAUCAAACAGGAUUAGAUACCCCAGUAGUC